rnacentral:RNase_P_RNA from 1 species
GAAGCAGGCCAAGGCAGCCGCUGGCGAGCGUGUUCGGCAGAGAAGCGACUUCGGUCGUCCAUCGGCCCGCAGCGUUCGCGGGAGGAAGGUCCGGACUCCAUAGAGCAGGGUGACGGUUAACGGCCGUCCGCCGUGAGGCGAGGAAUAGGGCCACAGAGACGAGUCUUUGGGACAACGCAGGGCGAAAGCGCUGCCGGCGUCACAAAGGGUGAAACGCGGUAACCUCCACCCGGAGCAAUUCCAAAUAGGCACGCGUUGAUGUUGCUCGCGGAGCGUGCGGGUAGGAAGCUUGAGCCGUGGAGUAAUUCACGGCCUAGAGGAAUGGCUGUCAUAGCCGAAGGCGCAAGCCCGAAGUCGUAACAGAAUCCGGCCUAUCGGCUUGCUUCACUU